CCUCAUUACUUCAAGAGUUCAAGUACACAAAAGCCAUUGAUAUUGAUCUUGCCUAAAAAAGAUUUCUGUCCUUGCAUUCUUUUUGAGCUUUCAGGGUACGAUCUUCGCCAAGCAUCAAGAACGCCCUGUUCUAGUCAGUAAGGCAAAGACGCCAUGAAUUGGGAACCAAAUUCAUCCCGAUCAAACAGGCUUGACUACUCCUAGAACUGUAUUCUGGCAUAUGGUUAUACUGUGUUUUGCUUCUAGAUGUUUCUAGGAGGACCACCAAAUCUGGCAGAGGAUCCUGAACAAAUUGCAGACAAGAGAGCAUAUGAAGAUUCAAGACCACCUCUCUACUCUUAUUUGUUCCCGGAACCAAUUAGAAAAUUUACAUGCUGCCCUGAAGCAAUUUUAUAUGUGUGCAAAAUAUUUCAGAACUGCUGGCAUUCUUCCUCAGUCGCAGUCCCAAAAAAUAUCAUCCGCCAAAAGCAGAUGAUGUAAAACCGGUGCAUGAUAAUUAAUUUGAAUACCUUGCAACCACUGAUGAUGUACAAAAUGUUCAACCAAAGAAGUCAGAUCCUCUCCGCACAAAAUGAACAAAUAUGGUGAUAGUGGAUCUCCUUGCCUGAUGCCCCGAGUUGGCUUCACAUAGCCUCGAACUUCCCCAUUUAACAGAAAAGAAUAACUCACUGUUUUGAUGCUUGUCAUUAUCAACUCCACCCAUGCCUCAGCGAAACCCAACUUCAAAAGCAUAUUUUUUAGGAAGCUCCAUUCAAGUCUGUCAUAAGCCUUACUAAUAUCCAACUUCAAGGAAAAGUGUUCUGCUUACCCCCUUCUCUCAUUAUGUAAGAAAUGAGUUACCUCCGUUGCCACUAAUGUAUUAAUAGAAAUCAAC